UUUUAUGGCCAUAUGAAAAAG
rnacentral:piRNA from 1 species